rnacentral:rRNA from 1 species
UACGUAGGGUGCGAGCGUUGUCCGGAAUUACUGGGCGUAAAGAGUUCGUAGGCGGUUUGUCGCGUCGUUCGUGAAAACUUGGGGCUUAACUCCAAGCGUGCGGGCGAUACGGGCAGACUUGAGUACUACAGGGGAGACUGGAAUUCCUGGUGUAGCGGUGGAAUGCGCAGAUAUCAGGAGGAACACCAAUAGCGAAGGCAGCUCGCUGGGACGUUACUGACACUGAGGCGCGAAAGCGUGGGGAGCGAACAGG